rnacentral:lncRNA from 1 species
GAUAGAACAGGCAGGAUUGGGAUAGAAACAGUCGUGGAAGCCAUGAGACGAUUGUGACAAUUUAUAUCCGUGAGUCAUUUAAAAACUAAGCAAUUGAUGGAAUGGCAACCAAAGUGAAAUACUUAUUGCAGUCAUCACGAAUGUGGUUACAAUGUCGUUUUAAAUCAUGUUGAGAUAGUGAGGAAUCAUUUAAUCUAUGUAGUCUGAAAUGAGCGCACACGUGUAUGCUCCCUUGAUUUUUCGGUUACAAGUUUCA